rnacentral:lncRNA from 1 species
UGUCACUCAUUCGGGGUUCAUUUGUGAUGAUGGUUAUCAUCUUUGGGGUUCAUUUGUGAUGGUUGUCACUCACUUGGAGUUCAUCUUUGGGGUUCAUCUCUGAGUAUUUGAUUGCUUUGUUGUGGUUCGCACGGAGAACCUUUUUCUUUGGUGUUCGCUGGUUAGCGUUUGUUUAAUUGUUUGGAGUCGGAUGUAAGUCCAUGUAUUGGCAUUCUGUUUCCUUGUUUGUGGUUUUUGUUAGGAGUCGGAUAUAAGUCCAUGUAUUGGCAUUCUGUUUCCUUGUU